AGCGGGAGAAUUACUUGGAAGGGAUUUAUUCCUGGAAAAAAGCAAUUUUUAGCGGCGGAACGGGGUGAGUAACGCGUGAACAUUUUGCCUUUUACAAGGGGGCAUAACACAGGGAAACUUGUACUAAUUCCGCAUAUUUUUAUUUAAUCGCAUGAUUGAAGUGAUGAAAGUGGAAACACGGUAAAGGGGGAGCUCGCCUUCUUUUUAGAUUGUUGGUGGGGUAACGGCCUACCCAAGUCAACGAUAGAUAGCCGACCUGAGAGGGUGAUUCGCCCACACUGGAACUGAGACACGGUCCAGACUUCUACGGAAGGCAGCAGUAGGGAAUAUUGGGCAAUGGGCGAAAGCCUGACCCAGCAACGCCGCGUGAGGGAAGAAGGUUCUCGGAUUGUAAACCUCUAUCCUUGGUGAAGAUAAUGACGGUAGCCAAGAAGGAAGCCCCGGCUAACUACGUGCCAGCAGCCGCGGUAAUACGUAGGGGGCAAGCGUUGUCCGGAAUGAUUGGGCGUAAAGGGCUCGUAGGCGGCUAAUCAAGUCUGGAGUGAAAGUCCUGCUUUUAAGGUGGGAAUUGCUUUGGAAACUGAAUAGCUUGAGUGUAGGAGAGGUUAGUGGGAUUCCCAGUGUAGCGGUGAAAUGCGUAGAGAUUGGGAGGAACACCAGUGGCGAAGGCGACUAACUGGACUAUAACUGACGCUGAGGAGCGAAAGUGUGGGUAGCAAACAGGAUUAGAUACCCUGGUAGUCCACACUGUAAACGAUGAAUGCUAAAUGUAGGUGGUAUCGACCCCCAUCUGUGCCGCAGUAAACACAAUA
rnacentral:rRNA from 1 species